GCCUGGCUGGCUCAGUCAGUAGAGCAUGAGACUGUUGAUCUUAGGGUUGUGAGUUCGAGUCCCACAUUGGGUA